AAGUAGAGUGCCGGCGCUGUCGGGGAGCUCCUGCCCUGACAUUGCUGGCUUUGAAGAUGGUGGAAGGAGAUCAAUCAAGGAAGCAGGUGGCCUCUAAAAGCUGGAAAAAGUACAGAGAGCCUCCACCUUGAUCUUGGCCCAGUUAGAACCCUGUCAGGCUUCCUUCUACCGAGCUGUAAAGGAUGAUUAACCCUGAGCUAACAUCUACUGCCCAUCCUCCUUUCUUUGCUGAGGAAGACUGGCCGGGAGCUAACAUCUGUGCCCAUCUUCCUCUAUUUUAUAUGUGGGAUGCCUGCCACAGCAUGGCUUGACAAGUGGUGCAUAGGUCCACACCCAGGAUCCGAACAGGUAAAAUCUGGGCUGCAGAAGUGGAAUGUGAGAACUUAACUGCUGUGCCACUUGGCUGGCCCCUAAAGUUUUCUCUAUCAGAACCUCAUAGAAUGGGAAAACAUCAUUAUUCCUCUGCAUUUUAAGGGAGUUUGUGAAAGAUUGGUGUUACUUCUUCCUUAAAUAUUUGAGAUUCAUCAAAGAGACUAUAACUUCUGAAUGUGACGUUAUUUGGAAUAAGCAUCUUUGAAGAUGUAAGUAAGGCAAGGAUCUCAAGACAAGAUCAUCCUGGAUUAGGGUGGGCUGUAAAUCCAAUGUUAGUGACCCAGUAAAAGAAAGAAAAGGAGAAGACAGACACAGAGGAAAAAGCCAUGUGAAGUUGGAGGCAGAGAUUGGAGAGCAGCAACCAGGCAAGGAAUACCGAAAAUUGCCAGCAGCCACCAGAAACAAGGAGGCAUGGAAUAAUUCUCCCUCAGAGAAUUCAGAAAGAACCAAAUCUAUUGACACCUAGAUUUUGAACUUUUGGCCUCUAGAAUUGUGAGAGAAAUUUCUGUUGUGUUAAACUGCCCAGUUUGUGGUAAUUUAUUAUGGUAGCCCUAGGAAAUUAAUAUCCUUGCAAGGUGUUAAUUUUACUAAUCACUUUAGAGAACCAAUAGUUGCUUUUAUUAAUUUUCUUUAAUGUUUAUUUUCUAUUUAAUUUCUGCUCUGACGUUUAUUUUUUCCCAACUUAUUUUGGGUUUAAUUUUUCUAGUAUUUUUUUUUUUUUGAGGAAGAUUAGCCCUGAGCUAACAUCUGCUGCCAAUCCUCCUCUUUUUGCUGAAGAAGAUUGGCCUUGAGCUAACAUCCAUGUCCAUCUGCCUCUACUUUAUCUGUAGGACGCCUGCCACAGCGUGGCUUGAUAAGCAGUGUGUAGGCCCACAUUUGGGAUCCAAACCGGCGAACCCAGGGCCACUGAAGCAGAAUGUGCAAACUUAACAACUACACCACUGAGCCAGCCCCAAAUUUUUCCAGUUUUUUAAGGUGGAAACUUAGAUCAUUAUUUACAAACCUUUCAUCUUUUCUACUAUAACCAUUUAAAACUAUAAAUUUCCCUCUAAACACUGCAUUCCACAUAUUUUGGCACGUUUUUAUUAUUAUUUUGAAAUUUAUUGUAACUUCUUGUUACUUUUUGAAUCAUAGGUUAUACAGAAGUGAGGCAUUUAAUUUAAAAAUAUUUAGGGGGUUUCUAUAUAUGUUACAGUAAUUUCUAAUUCAAUUCCAUUUAGGUCAGAUAACAAACAUUAUAUAUAGUUUUCAUCUUUUGAAGUUUCAGUCAUUUUAUGACUUGUAUGGUUUGUCUUGAACAUUCCAAGUGCAAUUGAAAAAUAUGUUUAAUCUAUAUUCGUUUUAGACGUAGUGUUGAAUAAACUCAAUUAGGUUGAUAAUGCUGUUCCAAUUUUCUUUAAUCAAUAGUAUCUCUAACUCUGAUUGUAGAUUUAUAUAUUUCUCCUUUUAGGUCAGCUAGAUUUUCAUGAAUUUUAAGGAUGUUGUUAUCUUUUCCUGCUUAUCUAAUUUAUCGUUAUGAAAUGAACCUCUUAAUCCUUGAUAAUGUUUCUUAUUCCGUGGUCUACCUUUUUGGUAUUAAUAUAGCCACAGUAGCUUUUCAUGCUUACCAUUAACAUGGUAUAUAUUUUUUCAUUUUUUGCUUUUGACU
rnacentral:lncRNA from 1 species